rnacentral:rRNA from 1 species
AUUGAACGCUGGCGGCAUGCCUUACACAUGCAAGUCGAACGGUAACGGGCCUUCGGGUGCCGACGAGUGGCGAACGGGUGAGUAAUACAUCGGAACGUGCCCGAUCGUGGGGGAUAACGAGGCGAAAGCUUUGCUAAUACCGCAUACGAUCUACGGAUGAAAGCAGGGGACCGCAAGGCCUUGCGCGGACGGAGCGGCCGAUGGCAGAUUAGGUAGUUGGUGGGAUAAAAGCUUACCAAGCCGACGAUCUGUAGCUGGUCUGAGAGGAUGAUCAGCCACACUGGGACUGAGACACGGCCCAGACUCCUACGGGAGGCAGCAGUGGGGAAUUUUGGACAAUGGGCGCAAGCCUGAUGCAGCCAUGCCGCGUGCAGGAUGAAGGCCUUCGGGUUGUAAACUGCUUUUGUACGGAACGAAAAGCCUUCUUUUAAUACAGGAGGGUCAUGACGGUACCGUAAGAAUAAGCACCGGCUAACUACGUG